rnacentral:rRNA from 1 species
AGCGAACGCUGGCGGCAGGCUUAACACAUGCAAGUCGAGCGGGCGUAGCAAUACGUCAGCGGCAGACGGGUGAGUAACGCGUGGGAACGUACCUUUUGGUUCGGAACAACACAGGGAAACUUGUGCUAAUACCGGAUAAGCCCUUACGGGGAAAGAUUUAUCGCCGAAAGAUCGGCCCGCGUCUGAUUAGCUUGUUGGUGAGGUAACGGCUCACCAAGGCGACGAUCAGUAGCUGGUCUGAGAGGAUGAUCAGCCACAUUGGGACUGAGACACGGCCCAAACUCCUACGGGAGGCAGCAGUGGGGAAUAUUGGACAAUGGGGGAAACCCUGAUCCAGCCAUGCCGCGUGAGUGAUGAAGGCCUAGGGUUGUAAAGCUCUUUUGUGCGGGAAGAUAAUGACGGUACCGCAAGAAUAAGCCCCGGCUAACUUCGUGCCAGCAGCCGCGGUAAU